GCACUAAUGGGGUAGUGGUAACCUUGGUCGUUGCCAUCGACCAGCCAGGGGUUCAAUUCCCCUUUAGUGCA
rnacentral:tRNA from 1 species